AUUUAAGGCUGACCAGGCUAAGCCAUGCUGUUCAGCAGGUUCCAAAGGCCAGGGAACAACUGCUCAAAAUCCUCUCCAAACCAGCCUCCAGUGAAUGGGUACACUGAACAGUGGUAUGCAACACUUGGUUAACAGCUGAAUGCCGUAGGGACUGGUGUUCUACCUCGUGGAACUGCUGGAAGAAUCAGAUGAGAUACUGUGUGUCAUUAACAUCUUCGUCUUACAGCUGAGGCAUCUGGGGCACAUAGAAGCCUCCAGUGAGAGACCGUGCUGUGUCCACCUGUCAUCUGAUACUGAAAAGCAUCGCCAUCCCCUGGGCUAAGAGGAUGGUGGGACCACAUCACGGAAGGACCUGAGUCCCCGAUUGACUACGUGGAGUGGAACUGUCCAGCCCUGCAUCCCGCCAACCUGAACUGACCUGUAAAGGAAGUCAGAAACAAAUUUUCAUUCUGUUAAUGCAUUAAAACUUCAGGUUAUUUGUCCCAGUAGUUGGCCUAUCCUCGUUAAUGCAA